rnacentral:rRNA from 1 species
GUGGGGAAUAUUGGACAAUGGGCGAAAGCCUGAUCCAGCCAUGCCGCGUGUGUGAAGAAGGUCUUCGGAUUGUAAAGCACUUUAAGUUGGGAGGAAGGGCAGUAAGUUAAUACCUUGCUGUUUUGACGUUACCGACAGAAUAAGCACCGGCUAACUUCGUGCCAGCAGCCGCGGUAAUACGAAGGGUGCAAGCGUUAAUCGGAAUUACUUGGCGUAAAGCGCGCGUAGGUGGUUUUGUAAGUUGGAGGUGAAAACCCCGGGCUCAACCUGGGAACUGCCUCCAAAACUGCAUGACUAGAGUACGGUAGAGGGUAGUGGAAUUUCCUGUGUAGCUGUGAAAUGCGUAGAUAUAGGAAGGAACACCAGUGGCGAAGGCGACUACCUGGACUGAUACUGACACUGAGGUGCGAAAGCGUGGGGAGCAAACAGGAUUAGAAACCCUGGUAGUCC